rnacentral:rRNA from 1 species
CCUACGGGUGGCAGCAGUGGGGAAUAUUGGACAAUGGGGGGAACCCUGAUCCAGCGACGCCGCGUGAGUGAAGAAGUAUUUCGGUAUGUAAAGCUCUAUCAGCAGGGAAGAAAGAAAUGACGGUACCUGACUAAGAAGCCCCGGCUAACUACGUGCCAGCAGCCGCGGUAAUACGUAGGGGGCAAGCGUUAUCCGGAUUUACUGGGUGUAAAGGGAGCGUAGACGGCGGAACAAGUCAGAAGUGAAAACCCGGGGCUCAACCCUGGGAGUGCUUUUGAAACUGUUUGGCUGGAGUGCAGGAGAGGUAAGCGGAAUUCCUAGUGUAGCGGUGAAAUGCGUAGAUAUUAGGAGGAACACCAGUGGCGAAGGCGGCUUACUGGACUGUAACUGACGUUGAGGCUCGAAAGCGUGGGGAGCAAACAGGAUUAGAUACCCUGGUAGUC